UACGUAGGGCGCAAGCGUUGUCCGGAAUUACUGGGCGUAAAGCGUGCGCAGGCGGUGAUGUAAGACCGAUGUGAAAUCCCCGGGCUUAACCUGGGAACUGCAUUGGUGACUGCAUUGCUGGAGUAUGGCAGAGGGGGGUGGAAUUCCACGUGUAGCAGUGAAAUGCGUAGAGAUGUGGAGGAACACCGAUGGCGAAGGCAGCCCCCUGGGCCAAUACUGACGCUCAUGCACGAAAGCGUGGGGAGCAAACAGG
rnacentral:rRNA from 1 species